CGGGAUGUAGCGCAGUAGGUAGCGUGCCUGCUUUGGGAGCAGGAUGUCGCAGGUUCGAUUCCUGUCAUCCCGACCA
rnacentral:tRNA from 1 species